CGAAGCAACAGGGUAUAAUAGACACGGAUGGGAGGUUGGGCCCAAACGACCCGCACUCGGUAAUGAUCCUUUCGUAGGUGAACCUGCGGAAGGAUCAUUACCGAGUGCGGGUCCUUUGGGCCACCUCCCAUCCGUGUCUAUUAUACCCUGUUGCUUCGGCGGGCCCGCCGCUUGUCGGCCGCCGGGGGGGCGCCUUUGCCCCCCGGGCCCGUGCCCGCCGGAGACCCCAACACGAACACUGUCUGAAAGCGUGCAGUCUGAGUUGAUUGAAUGCAAUCAGUUAAAACUUUCAACAAUGGAUCUCUUGGUUCCGGCAUCGAUGAAGAACGCAGCGAAAUGCGAUAACUAAUGUGAAUUGCAGAAUUCAGUGAAUCAUCGAGUCUUUGAACGCACAUUGCGCCCCCUGGUAUUCCGGGGGGCAUGCCUGUCCGAGCGUCAUUGCUGCCCUCAAGCCCGGCUUGUGUGUUGGGUCGCCGUCCCCCUCUCCGGGGGGACGGGCCCGAAAGGCAGCGGCGGCACCGCGUCCGAUCCUCGAGCGUAUGGGGCUUUGUCACAUGCUCUGUAGGAUUGGCCGGCGCCUGCCGACGUUUUCCAACCAUUUUUCCAGGUGACCUCGGAUCAGGUAGGGAU
rnacentral:rRNA from 1 species